rnacentral:misc_RNA from 1 species
GAACAAAUGCUGUUCUUUGACUGAACUUUGCACGCUAUGGCCAUUUUUUCGCAUUUCUGAGCGAAAAAAUGGAGAUCUCUCGACGAGUAUCCGGAAUUGCUCGGUCCAGUCGACACGCUCGUGUUCCUGAGGCUGUAAUGCUCUGGGACCUAAUAUUUCGCUACUUGCGUACAAAUCGUCAUUCAUGAUCCACCUGAUACUGUCUUCAAUCAUAGUACAAAGAUGAGUGUUCUCUCCUUGUACUACACUUCAAUGUAGUACAAGACAUGAAAAAGGCCGAGAGAGAAGCAGACUGAUAAUUAUGACCUCGAUCCCUCUAUCGAUGUACUACUUAUGCUAUAACAUCCAUAUCAACACACUGAUAUUUAUCGAGUAAACACAGUAUGCUUGGUUAUCUUCACUUCAAUGAACAUUUAAAUGAUACUUAUUUUUUAUUUACAAUUUACAACAAUUAUUUGUAUUGAACAGAUGAAAUUACACGUGAUGAUCAUCACCUAUAGGUAUGUGUUAUAUACAACAGUAAUGUAGCUCAAAAGAGUC